rnacentral:tRNA from 1 species
GCACUGAUGGUUCAGUUGUAGAAUUCUCACCUUCCAUGCAGGAGAUCUGGGUUUGAUUCUCAGUCAGCGCA